rnacentral:rRNA from 1 species
AGGCGGAAUUUGUAGUGUAGCGGUGAAAUGCAUAGAUAUUACAAGGAACUCCGAUUGCGAAGGCAGCUUACUAAACUACUACUGACGCUCAUGCACGAAGGCGUGGGGAUCAAACAGGAUUAGAUACCCUGGUAGUCCACGCAGUAAACGAUGAUUACUCGCUGUUUGCGAUGCACAGUAAGCGGCUUAGCGAAAGCGUUAAGUAAUCCACCUGGGGAGUACGUUCGCAAGAAUGAAACUCAAAGGAAUUGACGGGGGCCCGCACAAGCGGAGGAACAUGUGGUUUAAUUCGAUGAUACGCGAGGAACCUUACCCGGGCUUGAAAUGCAUCUGACCGGCACAGAGACGUGCCUUUUCUUCGGAACAGAUGUGUAGGUGCUGCAUGGUUGUCGUCAGCUCGUGCCGUGAGGUGUCGGCUUAAGUGCCAUAACGAGCGCAACCCUCAUCAUUAGUUGCUAACAGGUCAUGCUGAGGACUCUAAUGAGACUGCCAUCGUAAGAUGCGAGGAAGGUGGGGAUGACGUCAAAUCAGCACGGCCCUUAUGUCCGGGGCGACACACGUGUUACAAUGGAUGGUACAACAGGCAGCUACUUGGCGACAAGAUGCUAAUCCCAAAAACCAUUCUCAGUUCGGAUCGAAGUCUGCAACUCGACUUCGUGAAGCUGGAUUCGCUAGUAAUCGCGCAUCAGCCACGGCGCGGUGAAUACGUUCCCGGGCCUUGUACACACCGCCCGUCAAGCCAUGGAAGCUGGGGGUGCCUGAAGCACGUAACCGAUAAGGAGCGUGUUAGGGUAAAACCGGUAACUGGGGCUAAGUCGUAACAAGGUAGCCGUA